GCCAGGGUGGUGUAGUGGACAGCACAUCUGCCUAGUGAGCAGGAGACCAAGGUUCAAGUCCCGGCCCUGACA